rnacentral:rRNA from 1 species
GAUGAACGCUAGCGGCAGGCCUAAUACAUGCAAGCCGAACGGCAAGCUUGGUAGCAAUACAAAGCCUAGAGUGGCGUAAGGGUGCGUAACACGUAUGCAAUCUGCCCACAACAGGAGGAUAGCUCCCCGAAAGGGGAAUUAAUACUCCAUAAGAUCACACGAGGGCAUCUGAGAGUGAUUAAACCAAAAGGGGUUGUGGAUGAGCAUGCGGUUGAUUAGCUAGUUGGCGGGGUAACGGCCCACCAAGGCGAUGAUCAAUAGGGGAACUGA